rnacentral:rRNA from 1 species
AGCAGCCGCGGUAAUUCCAGCUCCAAUAGCGUAUAUUAAAGUUGUUGCAGUUAAAAAGCUCGUAGUUGAAUUUCGGGGUCAGUAGGUUGGUCGUGCCACUGGUAUGUACUGGCUUCACUGAUUCCUCCUUCUUGUAGAACCGUAAUGCCAUUAAUUUGGUGUUGCGAGGAAACAGGACUGUUACUUUGAAAAAUUAGAGUGUUUAAAGCAGGCUAACGCCUGAAUACAUUAGCAUGGAAUAAUGAAAUAGGACGUUCGACCCUAUUUUGUUGGUUUCUAGGAUUGACGUAAUGAUUAAUAGGGAUAGUUGGGGGCAUUAGUAUUCAAUUGUCAGAGGUGAAAUUCUUGGAUUUAUUGAAGACUAACUACUGCGAAAGGCAUUUGCCAAGGAUGUUUUCAUUAAUCAAGAACGAAAGUUAGGGGAUCGAAGACGAUCAGAUACCGUCGUAGUCUUAACCAUAAACUAUGCCGACUAGGGAUCGGAUGGUGUUAAUUUUUUAAUGACUCAUUCGGCGCCUUA